rnacentral:rRNA from 1 species
UACGAAGGGGCUAGCGUUGCUCGGAUUGACUGGGCGUAAAGGGUGUGCAGGCGGUCGGGUGUGUCAGAUGUGAAAUCCCGAGGCUCAACCUCGGAACUGCGUCUGAAACUACUCGACUAGAGUACUGGAGAGGGUAACGGAAUUCACGGUGUAGCAGUGAAAUGCGUAGAUAUCAUGAGGAACACCAGAGGCGAAGGCGGUUACCUGGACAGUUACUGACGCUCAGGCACGAAAGCAUGGGGAGCAAAAGGG